rnacentral:rRNA from 1 species
CCUACGGGAGGCAGCAGUGAGGAAUAUUGGUCAAUGGGCGGAAGCCUGAACCAGCCAAGUAGCGUGCAGGAUGACGGCCCUACGGGUUGUAAACUGCUUUUAUACGGGAAUAACGCGCCUUACGUGUAGGGCUUUGCAUGUACCCUAUGAAUAAGGACCGGCUAAUUCCGUGCCAGCAGCCGCGGUAAUACGGAAGGUCCGGGCGUUAUCCGGAUUUAUUGGGUUUAAAGGGAGCGCAGGCGGGAAGUCAAGCGUGCUGUGAAAUGUCCGGGCUCAACCCGGGCCUUGCAGCGGAAACUGGCGUGCUUGAGUGAGCGGAAAGCAGGCGGAAUGCGUGGUGUAGCGGUGAAAUGCUUAGAUAUGACGAAGAACCCCGAUUGCGAAGGCAGCUUGCUGCAGCGGAACUGACGCUGAUGCACGAAAGCGCGGGUAUCGAACAGGAUUAGAUACCCUUGUAGUC